AUUGAACGCUGGCGGCAGGCUUAACACAUGCAAGUCGAACGAGUGGCGGACGGGUGAGUAAUGCUUGGGAAUAUAGCUUAUGGAGGGGGAUAACUAUGGGAAACUGUAGCUAAUACCGCGUACCAUUGGAUGGGCCGAAGUGGGAUUAGGUAGUUGGUGAUGUAAAGGCUCACAAAGGCGACGAUCUCUAGCUGGUCUGAGAGGAGGACGAGCCACACUGGGACGUGGACACGGCCCAGAUUCCUACGGGAGGCAGCAGUGGGGAAUAUUGCGCAAUGGGGGCAACCUGACGCAGCCAUGCCGCGUGAAUGAAGAAGGCCUUCGGGUUGUAAAGUUCUUUCGGUAGCGAAGCGUUAACUACAGAAGAAGCACCGGCUAACUCCGUGCCAGCCGCCGCGGUAAUUC
rnacentral:rRNA from 1 species